rnacentral:rRNA from 1 species
UACGGAGGGUGCAAGCAUUGAUCGGAAUUACUGGGCGUAAAGGGCGCGUAGGCGGUUUGAUAAGUCAGAUGUGAAAUUCCGGGGCUCAACCCCGGAGCUGCAUUUGAAACUGUCGAGCUAGAGUUCAGUUAGGGUAAACGGAAUUCCACGUGUAGCGGUGAAAUGCGUAGAUAUGUGGAAGAACACCGGUGGUGAAGACGGUUUACUGGGCUGAUACUGACGCUGAGGCGCGAAAGCAUGGGGAGCAAACAGG